GCGAAGGUGGCGGAAUUGGUAGACGCGCUAGCUUCAGGUGUUAGUGUCCUUAGGAUUUGGGGGUUCGAGUCCCCCCCCUCGCACCA
rnacentral:tRNA from 1 species